rnacentral:rRNA from 1 species
CAGGUGCCGGCCACACGCGUGGUAUGGGCGUCGGUUUCAUGUUCGUGCAACCUUGCAAGGCCGAAAUCACCUAGUCUUCCAUUCAUUCCAUCAUCAAGGAGCACGUUGCUAACCUUAAUAUCUCGAUGGAUAACAACUUGCUCCCAGUCCUCAUCCAAGUACACAAGGCCGGCUGUAACCCCUUUAAUGAUGUGAAGCCUUUGAUCCCAGCCCAGAGUUGGCUUAUCCUUUUUAUGCAAAUACGUAUCAAGGCAUCCAUUGGGCAUAUAG